rnacentral:rRNA from 1 species
CCUACGGGAGGCAGCAGUGGGGAAUAUUGCACAAUGGGGGAAACUCUGAUGCAGCGAUGUCGCGUGGAGGAAGAAUGCCUUCGGACUGUAAACUCCUUUUAUCAGGACGAUAAUGACGGUACCUGAAGAAAAAGCUCCGGCUAACUACGUGCCAGCAGCCGCGGUAAUACGUAGGGAGCGAGCGUUGUUCGGAAUUACUGGGUGUAAAGGGAGCGUAGGCGGGACGGCAAGUCAGAUGUGAAAAUUGAGGGCUCAACUUUCAGACUGCAUUUGAAACUGCUGUUCUUGAGUGUAGUAGAGGUAGGCGGAAUUCGUGGUGGAGCGGUGAAAUGCGUAGAUAUUAGGAAGAACAUCGAUGGCGAAGGCAGCUUACUGAGCUGUUACUGACACUGAGGCUCGAAAGUGUGGGGAGCAAACAGGAUUAGAUACCCCAGUAGUC